AUUAUGGCUCAGAACGAACGCUGGCGGCGCGUCUUAAGCAUGCAAGUCGAGCGGUAAGAUUGGUGCUUGCACUAAUCCUAGAGCGGCGGACUGGUGAGUAACGCGUGGGUGACGUACCUUGUGACGGGGACAGCUCCUAGAAAUAGGAGAUAAUACCGGAUACGCUGCAUGUUGUCAGAGGACAUGCAGGAAAGGAUCUUUUGAUUCGCACAGAGAGCGGCCCGCGUACUAUUAGCUUGUUGGUGAGGUAACGGCCCACCAAGGCGACGAUAGUUACCCGGCCUAAGAGGGUGAUCGGGCACAUUGGGACUGAGAUACGGCCCAGACUCCUACGGGAGGCAGCAGCUAAGAAUAUUCCGCAAUGGACGAAAGUCUGACGGAGCGACGCCGCGUGGAAUGAUGAAGGCCGGAAGGUUGUAAAAUCCUUUUAGGUGCGAGGAAUAAGGGAAGUGAGAGAAACGCUUCCCGGUGACGGUAGCACCUGAAUAAGCAACGGCUAAUUACGUGCCAGCCGCCGC
rnacentral:rRNA from 1 species